ACGAAGGGGGCUAGCGUUGCUCGGAAUUACUGGGCGUAAAGGGAGCGUAGGCGGAUAGUUUAGUCAGAGGUGAAAGCCCAGGGCUCAACCUUGGAAUUGCCUUUGAUACUGGCUAUCUUGAGUAUGGAAGAGGUAUGUGGAACUCCGAGUGUAGAGGUGAAAUUCGUAGAUAUUCGGAAGAACACCAGUGGCGAAGGCGACAUACUGGUCCAUUACUGACGCUGAGGCUCGAAAGCGUGGGGAGCAAACAG
rnacentral:rRNA from 1 species